GACGAACGCUGGCGGCGUGCUUAACACAUGCAAGUCGAGCGGAAAGGCUCCUUCGGGGGUACUCGAGCGGCGAACGGGUGAGUAACACGUGAGCAAUCUGCCCUUCACAUCGGAAUAACCGCCGGAAACGGCGGCUAAUACCGGAUACGACCAUCGCCGGCAUCUGCUGAUGGUGGAAAGCUCCGGCGGUGGAGGAUGAGCUCGCGGCCGAUCAGCUUGUUGGUGGGGUAACGGCCUACCAAGGCGACGACGGGUAGCCGGCCGGAGAGGGUGACCGGCCACACUGGGACUGAGACACGGCCCAGACUCCUACGGGAGGCAGCAGUGGGGAAUAUUGGACAAUGGGCGCAAGCCUGAUCCAGCAACGCCGCGUGAGGGAUGACGGCCUUCGGGUUGUAAACCUCUUUCAGCAGGGACGAAGCGCAAGUGACGGUACCUGCAGAAGAAGCACCGGCCAACUACGUGCCAGCCGCCGCGGUAACAC
rnacentral:rRNA from 1 species